rnacentral:rRNA from 1 species
AUUGAACGCUGGCGGCAGGCCUAACACAUGCAAGUCGAACGAGUGGCGGACGGGUGAGUAAUGUCUGGGAAACUGCCCGAUGGAGGGGGAUAACUACUGGAAACGGUAGCUAAUACCGCAUACCAUCGGAUGUGCCCCGAUGGGGUUAGCUGGUAGGUGAGGUAACGGCGCACCUAGGCGACGCUCCCGAGCUGGUCUGAGAGGAUGACCAGCCAAACUGAAACUGAGAAACGGUGCAGACUCCUACGGGAGGCAGGAGUGGGGAAUAUUGCACAAUGGGGGCAAGCCUGAUGAAGCCAUGCCGCGUGUAUGAAGAAGGCCUUCGGGUUGUAAAGUACUUUCAGCGGGGAGGCGUUACCCGCAGAAGAAGCACCGGCUAACUCCGUGCCAGCAGCCGCGGUAAUUC